rnacentral:rRNA from 1 species
UACGUAGGUGACAAGCGUUGCCCGGAUUUACUGGGCGUAAAGAGCGCGCAGGCGGUCGUUCAAGUCGAGUGUGAAAGCCCCCGGCUCAACUGGGGAGGGUCAUUCGAUACUGAUCGACUCGAAGGCAGGAGAGGGUAGUGGAAUUCCCGGUGUAGUGGUGAAAUGCGUAGAUAUCGGGAGGAACACCAGUGGCGAAGGCGACUACCUGGCCUGUUCUUGACGCUGAGGCGCGAAAGCUAGGGGAGCAAACGGG